rnacentral:rRNA from 1 species
GCCUACGACCAUAAUACGUUGAAUACACCGGUUCUCGUCCGAUCACCGAAGUUAAGCAACGUCGGGCUUGGUUAGUACUUGGAUGGGAGACCGCCUUUGAAUACCAGGUGUCGUACGCU